GAUGAACGCUGGCGGCGUGCCUAAUACAUGCAAGUCGAGCGAACAGACGAGGAGCUUGCUCCUCUGACGUUAGCGGCGGACGGGUGAGUAACACGUGGAUAACCUACCUAUAAGACUGGGAUAACUUCGGGAAACCGGAGCUAAUACCGGAUAACAUGUUGAACCGCAUGGUUCAACAGUGAAAGACGGUCUUGCUGUCACUUAUAGAUGGAUCCGCGCCGCAUUAGCUAGUUGGUAAGGUAACGGCUUACCAAGGCAACGAUGCGUAGCCGACCUGAGAGGGUGAUCGGCCACACUGGAACUGAGACCCGGUCCAGACUCCUACGGGAGGCAGCAGUAGGGAAUCUUCCGCAAUGGGCGAAAGCCUGACGGAGCAACGCCGCGUGAGUGAAGAAGGUCUUCGGAUCGUAAAACUCUGUUAUUAGGAAAGAACAAAUGUGUAAGUAACUAUGCACGUCUUGACGGUACCUAAUCAGAAAGCCACGGCUAACUACGUG
rnacentral:rRNA from 1 species